AGAGAGACGAGCAUUCCAUUUACUGCAAUCGCAUUUUUGCCGUCGCAAGAGGGUGCAAACGGGUCGGCUGAAAGGAGCAAGAAAAAGGAUGGAAAAGUGGUUCCCAUUUCUUAAUUAAAUUCGCAAGUAAAAAUUCUAAAAAAGGAGAAGGAGUAAGAAGAGAACAAUGAG